AGCGUAGGCGGAUUUUUAAGUGAGAUGUGAAAUACUCGGGCUUAACCUGAGUGCUGCAUUUCAAACUGGAAGUCUAGAGUGCAGGAGAGGAGAAGGGAAUUCCUAGUGUAGCGGUGAAAUGCGUAGAGAUUAGGAAGAACACCAGUGGCGAAGGCGCUUCUCCGGACUGUAACUGACGCUGAGGCUCGAAAGCGUGGGGAGCAAACA
rnacentral:rRNA from 1 species